AGCUCAGCUGGGAGAGCAUCUGCCUUACAAGCAGAGGGUCGGCGGGUUUGGGGCUGCUACGCAGCCCAGCGCGGGGCAAGCCCGCUCACCA
rnacentral:tRNA from 1 species